UACGAAGGUCCCAAGCGUUGUCCGGAUUUAUUGGGCGUAAAGAGCGUGUAGGCGGUUUGGUAGGUCCGCUGUGAAAACUCGAGGCUCAACCUCGAGACGCCGGUGGAAACCAUCAGACUAGAGUCCGGAAGAGGAGAGUGGAAUUCCUGGUGUAGCGGUGAAAUGCGCAGAUAUCAGGAAGAACACCCGUGGCUAAGGCGGCUCUCUAGUACGGUACUGACGCUGAGACGCGAAAGCGUGGGGAGCGAACAGG
rnacentral:rRNA from 1 species